AGAGUUUGAUCAUGGCUCAGGAUGAACGCUAGCGGCAGGCCUAAUACAUGCAAGUCGAACGGUAACAGGCCCAGCAAUGGGUGCUGACGAGUGGCGCACGGGUGCGUAACACGUAUGCAACUUACCCUUAACUGGAAGAUAGCCCCGAGAAAUCGGGAUUAAUACUCCAUAACACUAUGAAGAGGCAUCUCUUUAUAUUUAAAGCUCAGGCGGUUAAGGAUGGGCAUGCGAGACAUUAGCUAGUUGGUGAGGUAACGGCUCACCAAGGCUACGAUGUCUAGGGGUUCUGAGAGGAUUUACCCCCACACUGGUACUGAGAUACGGACCAGACUCCUACGGGAGGCAGCAGUAAGGAAUAUUGGACAAUGGUCGCAAGACUGAUCCAGCCAUGCCGCGUGCAGGAUGACGGCCCUAUGGGUUGUAAACUGCUUUUGUACGGGAAAAAACCCCUCUACGUGUAGAGGGCUGAUGGUACCGUAAGAAUAAGGAUCGGCUAACUCCGUGCCAGCAGCCGCGGUAAUACGGAGGAUCCAAGCGUUAUCCGGAUUUAUUGGGUUUAAAGGGUGCGUAGGCGGAAUUGUAAGUCAGUGGUGAAAGCCUGCAGCUUAACUGCAGAACUGCCAUUGAUACUGCAAAUCUUGAGUACAUUUGAUGUGGGCGGAAUGUGUCAUGUAGCGGUGAAAUGCAUAGAUAUGACACAGAACACCGAUUGCGAAGGCAGCUCACAAAACUGUAACUGACGCUGAGGCACGAAAGCGUGGGGAUCGAACAGGAUUAGAUACCCCAGUAGUCC
rnacentral:rRNA from 1 species